UACGGAGGGGGUUAGCGUUGUUCGGAAUGACUGGGCGUAAAGCGCGCGUAGGCGGAUCAGGAAGUUGGGGGUGAAAUCCCGGGGCUCAACCCCGGAAUGGCCUUCAAAACUCCUGGUCUUGAGUUCGAGAGAGGUGAGUGGAAUUCCGAGUGUAGAGGUGAAAUUCGUAGAUAUUCGGAGGAACACCAGUGGCGAAGGCGGCUCACUGGCUCGACACUGACGCUGAGGUGCGAAAGCGUGGGGAGCAAGCAGG
rnacentral:rRNA from 1 species